GGGGAUGUAAAGGUUUCGACAGGGGUGCGUGUGGUAUAGAUAGCGAGUCGGCGUUCCAUGAGGCCGUUAAACGGUGGGAAAACAUUUAAACGCAGAAGAAAAUUUUGCAUUAGCUGCAUAAGCUACGUCCCUCAUACUUGUGCCUACCAAGUGUGAAUGGACAACAUGAACUGGGGUUGUGUAGCUUGUCUGUGAGCGGUAGCAACCUGAGAUUUAAAUCAUAGACUGUGCUCGGAGAAGUCUAUAUGGCAACACUUCUGGACAGGGGUUCGACUCCCCUCAUCUCCACCA
rnacentral:tmRNA from 1 species